rnacentral:rRNA from 1 species
GACGAACGCUGGCGGCGUGCUUAACACAUGCAAGUCGAACGGAAAGGCCCUGCUUUUGUGGGGUGCUCGAGUGGCGAACGGGUGAGUAACACGUGAGUAACCUGCCCCUGACUUUGGGAUAACUUCAGGAAACUGGGGCUAAUACCGGAUAGGAGCUCCUGCUGCAUGGUGGGGGUCGGAAAGUUUCGGCGGUUGGGGAUGGACUCGCGGCUUAUCAGCUUGUUGGUGGGGUAGUGGCUUACCAAGGCUUUGACGGGUAGCCGGCCUGAGAGGGUGACCGGCCACAUUGGGACUGAGAUACGGCCCAGACUCCUACGGGAGGCAGCAGUGGGGAAUAUUGCACAAUGGGCGGAAGCCUGAUGCAGCAACGCCGCGUGCGGGAUGACGGCCUUCGGGUUGUAAACCGCUUUCGCCUGUGACGAAGCGUGAGUGACGGUAAUGGGUAAAGAAGCACCGGCUAACUACGUG